rnacentral:lncRNA from 1 species
CAAUAUCUUUGGGGCAUAUUGAUAAUAAGUCGAAAUGACAUAUCUAAGAUUGGUGAAUGACUGAACUAAGUAUCACAUCUCCUUUAGUAUUAAUAACCACGUCGGUCGAAUACCGAAAUAAAUUACCAUAGACCGGCCAUAAGCUGAGAUAAAUAUUAUACUAUUUAAGAGCAACUUUGGGUUAUGCCGAUGAAGGAGCAGAAUGGUAAUCUGCUGAUGUGACUUGAAAAAAUAUUUGAUUCAGAUAAUAAUCUACCGCCAUAUGUUCAAAUGAUG